CAUCAGCGCUGUACCCGAGCCAGCAAUGCACGUGUACUCAGAGACGGAAUUCCUGGUGACGCGGGCAUUGCUGCUUGGUUCAGGUCAUUGCACACACACA
ensembl:miRNA gga-mir-6685 gga-mir-6685